rnacentral:misc_RNA from 1 species
GAUGAAGAACGUAGCGAAAUGCGAUAAGUAGUGUGAAUUGCAGAAUUCAGUGAAUCAUCGAAUCUUUGAACGCACAUUGCGACCCUUGGUAUCCCGAGGGGCAUGCCUGUUCGAGCGUCAUUUCACCACUCAAGCCUGGCUUGGUGUUGGGCGACGUCCCCUUUGGGGACGCGCCUCGAAACGCUCGGCGGCGUGGCACCGGCUUUAAGCGUAGCAGAAUCUUUCGCUUUGGAAGUCGGGGCCCCGUCUGCCGGAAGACCUACUCGCAAGGUUGACCUCGGAUCAGGCAGGGAUACCCGCUGAACUUAAGCAUAUCAAUAAGCGGAGGA